GAUGAACGCUGGCGGCGUGCCUAAUACAUGCAAGUCGAGCGAACAGACGAGGAGCUUGCUCCUCUGACGUUAGCGGCGGACGGGUGAGUAACACGUGGAUAACCUACCUAUAAGACUGGGAUAACUUCGGGAAACCGGAGCUAAUACCGGAUAAUAUAUUGAACCGCAUGGUUCAAUAGUGAAAGACGGUUUUGCUGUCACUUAUAGAUGGAUCCGCGCCGCAUUAGCUAGUUGGUAAGGUAACGGCUUACCAAGGCGACGAUGCGUAGCCGACCUGAGAGGGUGAUCGGCCACACUGGAGCUGAGACACGGUCCAGACUCCGACGGGAGGCAGCAGUAGGGAAUCUUCCGAAAUGGGCGAAAGCCUGACGGAGCAACGCCGCGUGGGUGAUGAAGGGCUUCGGAUCGUAAAACGCUGUUAUUAGGGAAGAACAAAUGUGUAAGUAACUAUGCACGUCUUGACGGUACCGAAUCAGAAAGCCACGGCUAACUACGU
rnacentral:rRNA from 1 species